AUUGAACGCUGGCGGCAGGCCUAACACCUGCAAGUCGAGCGAGCGGCGGACGGGUGAGUAAUGUAUGGGGACUGACCGAUAGAGGGGGAGAACUAAUGGAAACGGUAGCUAAGACCGCAUCCUAUCGAAUAACCCAUAUGGGAUUAGCUAGUAGGUUAGGUAAUGGCUAACCUAGGAGACGCUCACUAGCUGGUCUGAGAGGAUGAUCAGACACACCGGGACUGCGAAGCGGCCCAGACUCCUACGGAGGCAGCAGUGGGUAAUAUUGCACAAUGGGCGAAAGCCUGAUGCAGCGAUGCCGCGUGUAGGAAGAAGGUCCUAGGGUUGUAAAGUACUUGCAGUCGGUAGGCGUUACCGACAGAAGAAGCACCGGCUAACUCCGUGCCAGCAGCCGCGGUAAUUC
rnacentral:rRNA from 1 species